CCGGCCCACGAGAUGGACAUCUGCUAUGGUAGAGCCUGUGAAAAGAAUUAUGUAGCCAGGAGUGGUGCUAACCUGAGCUGGGGAGUCGGGAGGGGGCCAUCAGUCACUCCUUGAUCCCCUGCUGCUCUCCUUAGGAAAAUGGUAAGCCCCAUCAGAACUGGACGGGCGUGCUUUACAUCUUCUACCGUAAGCAUCAAAGGAUGCGGCCACCUGAUAGAACAAAGGAGAUUCUCUGGUACCAUCUCAGAGCCAGAGGUCCAAAUAUUCUACAGAAGAGACUUUACAAUGUCACAGAGCUGAAUUUCAUCAGAAGGCUGCCAUUCAGAAAUGAGCUACAGGAAAACCUCAG
rnacentral:lncRNA from 1 species